rnacentral:rRNA from 1 species
GUGGGGAAUAUUGCACAAUGGGGGAAACCCUGAUGCAGCGACGCCGCGUGGGUGAAGAAGUAUUUCGGUAUGUAAAGCCCUAUCAGCAGGGAAGAAAAUGACGGUACCUGAUCAAGAAGCCCCGGCUAACUACGUGCCAGCAGCCGCGGUAAUACGUAGGGGGCAAGCGUUAUCCGGAUUUACUGGGUGUAAAGGGAGCGUAGACGGCUUUGCAAGUCUGAUGUGAAAGGCAGGGGCUCAACCCCUGGACUGCAUUGGAAACUGUGGGGCUUGAGUGCCGGAGGGGUAAGCGGAAUUCCUAGUGUAGCGGUGAAAUGCGUAGAUAUUAGGAGGAACACCAGUGGCGAAGGCGGCUUACUGGACGGUAACUGACGUUGAGGCUCGAAAGCGUGGGUAUCGAACAGG